CUUCGGAUAGUCAUCAUCCUUUUAAGAAAGAAAAAAAGAAGAAAAAUAAAAAGAUACAAGGUGCUGGAAGUUAGACCCAGAAAUCCAAGUUCAAGACUGAUCAAAAUCAGACAUAGUGCUCUUUUGCAAGAAGUAGGAUCACUGAAAGAGGAACUGUCCUUAGUAUAUAGCUUCCCUUGACCCAAACAGGCAAAGAAGAAGAAGUAAUCGGUUGCUGGAUAAGGUACUUAUGUGAU
rnacentral:lncRNA from 1 species